UGACUCAAAAAUGGACGGUGUUAUUUUUUAGUCAAAUUUGAAUGAAACAUCAUUGAAAACUGUAGAGUAACUUCUUCGAUAGAUUUUUGUUUUCUUGCUUCGUUUUGGAGAUAUUUCAUUUUGUAUGAUAUGCAAAGGAUCAACUGUCUACGUCACAUAUGCAUAAUGAUUUAGCCCUAAAAGUUCUAUAUCUUUAAUACGACUAAACACAAUCAGUAGAAAACCUAUAUGGGUGUUGUUGUGGACAAAUCUCGUGCUCAUCAUUCAUUUUGAGCGAAUUUAUUUGAUAGUGACAAAAUUAUAUAACAUUUUAAAGUAAGUCAUUAUGCAUAUGUGACGUAGGAAGUUGGCUUUGCAUGUCAUACAAAAUGAAAUAUCUCCAAAACGAAGCAAGUAAACAAAAAUCUAUCAAAGAAGUUACUCUACAG